GGCAACAGAGGUCUGGUAAGCUCACUACUUUUUAACUCUGCACCCCCAGAUUUUUUUCAUUUUCAAAGUUGUAGUCUUCAGCUCAAACGGAGUCUGAAUCGAGUGAAUUUAUCAGCCUUUGCACAGCUCCCUCUGGAGACACUUAAGGCUUUAAAGAACUUUUUCACAUUUCACAGUAGAGCUCCCCAACACCUGUAAACAGUCUUUAAUGUGUAAACUCGUGAAGUUUCCCUUUAAAGAGGUUAUCAGAGCUUUCCGUAAGCGCCAGCUACCAGCCAAUCACCCGUCAUUUACGUGCAGCAGACUACUUUUAUUCCUGUAAAAAACGCAGUAUUAAGUUUGUUAGCCGUAACUUAAUACUGCAUCUUUUGCAGGAAUAAAAGUAACAUUUCUGACUGCUGCAGAUUCAGAUUAAAAGCAUUCAAUUGGGGGGUUCGAAUCUGACCUGUGACCAUUUGCUGCGUGUCAUCCCCUCCCUCUGCCCCCCUUUCCUGUCUAUCUUCAGCUGUCACUAAAGGCAAUAAAAGGCCAAAAAAAUUAUUUUAUAAAAGCAUUCAACUGGCAAAACACGUUGACUUUUAUUAUGAAAUAGGCUAGUCACAAGAAAUGCAAAAUGUUUGUCAGUGAGCUUGACACUGGGUGCUAUCGCUUAACAAUAAUAUGUCUAAAAAACAAGACAAAAUGAUCCAGCUUUUUUGGUGACAGCAGAUCAGUUUGAAAUAUUGCAGGGAAUAAUGGAACAACAAGGAGCAGCCACAGUUAGAUGAAGAGUUGCAGGCAACAGGCUGCAGCAGAACACCUCCACUUCCAAACAGCUCCCACAGAAAAUGCGGAGGGCUUCAGACAGGCCCUCUCAACUGUGGCCUGCCUAAAGCCAUUACCAGGUUAUAACUAAGGAGGCACAGGCAGGUGGCAACAAGGUAAUAUGAUGACCAGGGAUUCCUGUCCUGUUACCAUGGUGCAGCAGUGGAACACUACAGCACCUGUCAUUAGUGAAUCUACAGUCUCCUGCUUAGCAAUCAGAGACAGCGAGACAAAGACAAAAAAGCAAAACAGAGACGGAGAGACAGCCAGUCCGAGUGAGGGGGACUGCAGAGAUCUGAGGACCCGAGCAGGUGUUGAACAAAGAGAUGGAACACAGAGUGAAAAGCCACGGGGGCAUGAAAGAUGUAGAACCAAAGACAACGGGCAGUGACCUCUGUGGCACUGCAGACGUGGGGACUGCAAGAGACUGCAGCAGAAACUCAGUGGGGGAUGAAGUACAUCAAAAGCUGUCCUGACUAAGGCAGCAUGAUACCAAAUAUUACAUGUACACAUACAUCAAUGAUUUCAGUGCAUCAUUGUUUGUUUUAGCAUGUUUACUUUCUUAACUCAUUUCACACCCAUAUGCUAUACAUAUUGCCGUUCCUUUCUUCUUUGCUGUACUGUGCUAACACAACUUCCUGUCUAUUCUGUCAACAUCUGAGUAGUGAUCAAAGUAGAAUGAACAGAUAUGGCUUCACUUGCCUUGACAGAGGUACUAACCUUUGGUGCUGACAAUCUUAGAGGUGAGCUCCAGAGUCUCGAUGUCCUCAGAUCCGAUGUUCUCCAAGGUGAUGGUCAGCUGCUGGGUCUCUCCAUUAAAAAGCUGGACGGACACAGUGCUGGACAGUUCCUCCUUGGUCAUCGGCUGAGGUGUGUGGGCUGACCUGUUUAGGUUUGUGGAUGAGGGAGAAUUUCAGUGACGACAGAAAGUAAAACGGACAAACUUUUCUUGCUUUUAUUCCUUCAAGGGGUCAAUAUAAAUUAAGAUUUCUAAAAAAAUAACUCAAAGCAUUACAGGCGUGUGAUGUUGAAGGACCUUUGGUGUGGUUUGAUAUGAUGCAAACAGUCCUGUUACUUUCUCAAGUUUUGAUGAAGAUGAUAACAGAUUUUUUUUAUCUCAGUAUUUUCUUACACCCCUAUAAUAGACCCCUGGCAUUAUUAAUGUAAUAGUUAUUUGAAGAGUAAAUCCAUAUUGAAUCACAUAAAGCAGUAAACUGUUCAUCCACUUUUUUUCUUGUAUCUAUGGCCACAUCUCAGUCAGUGACAUUACAUAAAAGUAUUUUCAGCUUGAAGUUUUACAGAGCUGCUAGUAUGUGUUUUUGUAAAUACAAGAGCAAAAGGGAAUAUACAAGAUUACAAAAGAUCAAUGUGGGUGUUUGCUACAACUUCGUACCUCAUUACACAUGCACAUGUUUAGUAUCCUAACUUUAAUAUGCAACAAACACUCUGCCUGAGGCUAGAAUUACAAUGCCAGUCAUCACCAACUGCCUAUAGUUUUUUUUCUGAGCUUGACAGCGGGUCAGCACAAAAAUAACUCCUUGAAACGUUACUGACAUUUCAAACGUAUUGUUGUAAUAAAGCAAUGAUAGGAAACCUUUUCAAAUAAAAAAACUGGGAAUUUUAAA